rnacentral:rRNA from 1 species
UACGUAGGGGGCGAGCGUUGUCCGGAUUUAUUGGGCGUAAAGAGCUCGUAGGCGGUUUGUCGCGUCUGCUGUGAAAACUGGAGGCUCAACCUCCAGCCUGCAGUGGGUACGGGCAGACUAGAGUGUGGUAGGGGAGACUGGAAUUCCUGGUGUAGCGGUGGAAUGCGCAGAUAUCAGGAGGAAUACCGAUGGCGAAGGCAGGUCUCUGGGCCACUACUGACGCU